rnacentral:rRNA from 1 species
AGCGACUUAUAUUCUGUAGCAAGGUUAACCGUAUAGGGGAGCCGUAGGGAAACCGAGUCUUAACCGGGCGUUAAGUUGCAGGGUAUAGACCCGAAACCCGGUGAUCUAGCCAUGGGCAGGUUGAAGGUUGGGUAACACUAACUGGAGGACCGAACCGACUAAUGUUGAAAAAUUAGCGGAUGACCUGUGGCUGGGGGUGAAAGGCCAAUCAAACCGGGAGAUAGCUGGUUCUCCCCGAAAGCUAUUUAGGUAGCGCCUCGUGAAUUCAUCUCCGGGGGUAGAGCACUGUUUCGGCUAGGGGGCCAUCCCGGCUUACCAACCCGAUGCAAACUGCGAAUACCGGAGAAUGUUAUCACGGGAGACACACGGCGGGUGCUAACGUCCGUCGUGAAGAGGGAAACAACCCAGACCGCCAGCUAAGGUCCCAAAGUCAUGGUUAAGUGGGAAACGAUGUGGGAAGGCCCAGACAGCCAGGAUGUUGGCUUAGAAGCAGCCAUCAUUUAAAGAAAGCGUAAUAGCUCACUGGUCGAGUCGGCCUGCGCGGAAGAUGUAACGGGGCUAAACCAUGCACCGAAGCUGCGGCAGCGAACGUAUCACCCAAGACAACUUUACGGAGUUGACGAUUGACGGAGCGAAGCGACGUCAAAGCGUUCAUUAAAGUCGAGUUGGCUUAGGGAUACGUUCGUUGGGUAGGGGAGCGUUCUGUAAGCCUGUGAAGGUGUGUCGUGAGGCAUGCUGGAGGUAUCAGAAGUGCGAAUGCUGACAUAAGUAACGAUAAAGCGGGUGAAAAGCCCGCUCGCCGGAAGACCAAGGGUUCCUGUCCAACGUUAAUCGGGGCAGGGUGAGUCGACCCCUAAGGCGAGGCCGAAAGGCGUAGUCGAUGGGAAACGGGUUAAUAUUCCCGUACUUGGUGUUACUGCGAAGGGGGGACGGAGAAGGCUAUGUUGGCCGGGCGACGGUUGUCCCGGUUUAAGCGUGUAGGUGUGUGUUCCAGGUAAAUCCGGUUCACUUUAACACUGAGGCGUGACGACGAGGCACUACGGUGCUGAAGCAACAAAUGCCCUGCUUCCAGGAAAAGCCUCUAAGCAUCAGGUAACAC